CAGUUCGUUAGUAAAGAAAGGAUAGGGACUGAAUCGAUGAGGACAGCGCGCAUUUUCAGUCAACAUUAGGAAUCUUAUACUUCUCCAUUAUUUUGCCUCAUUUUGCUUUGAAUCCUUCGUUUCUGUUCGGUAAAGAGAUGUCCAAUUCUCUUCCCGUCUUGGAAUAGUUGGUUAUGUAUGUAUGGGUAAAAUAGGAGAGAAAAUUAAACAAGUGUUCUUGCACCAACGUGAUGAUGGAUUUUCCACGCGAAGAUUGCUAAACUAAUUCGUCCCCAAAUUUCUUUAACCAUUUCAUUUGUGGGCCUGGAUAGGAAGGCUAAAUCAAACAAACAGUCAGCAAGCAAUGGAUGAUGAUGGAUGGAUACGGCGCUUAGCUUUGUUCCAUGCAUGCAUGAGCCGGCGGCCGCUGCCCUUUUAGUAUGUAGUAAUACUAGAUUAUCCGUCCGUCGCGUCACUGAGGAGGGAACUGGACGGACAUAGAUAGAUAAGAUAGAUAGGAUAGGAUAGGUAAGCAAAAAUGACUGACAUGCAUAUAUCUAUUAUAUAUGUAAUAUCGAGAGAGAAAUAGAGAGGAUGUGACCGAA
rnacentral:sRNA from 1 species